rnacentral:lncRNA from 1 species
CCUGAUUCGACCGAAAGUUAUAAUUAAUUAUGUAUGGGGCAAAGGUUUGAUUAACCCUUUUUAUUAGGUCACGGUCCGAUUUUUAAUCAUGUCUGGUCGAGUUCGAUCUGAAGCAGCUUAGCAAGAAUUAAAUUUAAAUGACAAUGGGCUCAAGGACAAGUCAACCAUCAUAACCCACCUCAAACCUAAAGUCAAUUCCCAACCAAUUCGUUAUCUGCCUUCAUAUAAAAUUUAUAAUAAUAAUAAUAACUAAAUAUUCACAAUUCACUGUUCAUAUGAACAGUGUCCAGUUCAAACACUGUUCA